AAUCCGUGUAGUGGGCACCUCCAUAAAGAUCCUUGAAAGCGCUCCCAUGUCUCAAACAAUGAUUCCAAUUCUAUCUGCACAAAUGACGAUAUCUCAUUACGAAGCUU